rnacentral:rRNA from 1 species
ACUCAAAUGAAUAGACGGGGGCCCGCACAAGCGGAGGAACAUGUGGUUUAAUUCGAUGAUACGCGCGGAACCUUACCCGGGCUCGAACGGCCUUUGCAUAAUUAAGAAAUUGGUUAGUCGCAAGACAGAGGUCGAGGUGCUGCAUGGUUGUCGUCAGCUCGUGCCGUGAGGUGUCGGCUUAAGUGCCAUAACGAGCGCAACCCUUACCGUCAGUUACCAGCAAGUCAAGUUGGGGACUCUGGCGGGACUGCCACCGUAAGGUGUGAGGAAGGCGGGGAUGACGUCAAAUCAGCACGGCCCUUACGUCCGGGGCGACACACGUGUUACAAUGGGUGGGACAGCAGGCAGCUACACUGCGAGGUGAUGCCAAUCCUCAAACCCACUCCCGGUUCGGAUCGGAGUCUGCAACCCGACUCCGUGAAGCCGGAUUCGCUAGUAAUCGCGCAUCAGCCAUGGCGCGGUGAAUACGUUCCCGGGCCUUGUACACACCGCCCGU